rnacentral:hammerhead_ribozyme from 1 species
AUCCAGCUGACGAGUCCAAAGUAGGACGAAACACGGAUUCUGCAU